rnacentral:rRNA from 1 species
GUCCUUUAGAGUAUAAUUAAAGGUUUAACCUGCCCACUGAAAAAUUUAAAUGGCCGCAGUAAAUUGACUGUGCAAAGGUAGCAUAAUCAAUAGUUUUUUAAUUAAAAGCUUGUAUGAAUGGUUGGACGAGAUAAAAUCUGUCUUUAAAUUAAAUAUAGAAUUUAAUUUUUAAGUUAAAAAGCUUAAAUUAAAUUAAAAGACGAGAAGACCCUAUAGAUCUUAAUAAUUAAUAAUUUAAAAAUAUAUAGGAAUAAGAUUUAUUUUAAUUUAAUAAUUAUUUUAUUGGGGUAAUAAAAAGAUUUAAUAAAUUCUUUUUUAAUAAAAACUAUAAUUUUUGAGUUGGUGAUCCAUUAUUAAUGAUUAAAAGAUUAAGUUACCUUAGGGAUAACAGCGUAAUUUUUUUAAAGAGUUCAUAUCGAUAAAAAAGUUUGCGACCUCGAUGUUGGAUUAAAAAUUAUUCUAGGUGUAGAAGUUUAGAAUUUUGGUCUGUUCGACCAUUAAAUUUUU